GAAAGAAUAAAAGCUAGAGGAGGUGGCUGCUGCAGGAGGUUUAGCAUAAAGGAAAUAGGAAUG
rnacentral:antisense_RNA from 1 species